AACUAUAAAUGACUAAAUCUCAUUCAUAUAAUUCAUCCAAGAGUAACUAUAUUGAUCCAAGCAUCAACUUGAUUACAAGAGACGAUAAAAUGCAUAGUUAAAACAUUCAAAAACUAUUACACUAGUGGCUAAACAUUCAAAACAACUAUAACAGUGUUAAAAUUGCAUAAAAAUAUCUAAGUAUCCCUUUAGUCAUGUUGCUCCAUUAUCCUCAAUGUCGUAGCUAGACUCGAAUGAAUGUCUAUUAGGGAUGCUCAAUGU
rnacentral:lncRNA from 1 species